UACGGAGGGUGCAAGCGUUAUCCGGAUUCAUUGGGUUUAAAGGGUGCGUAGGCGGGAUGAUAAGUCAGUGGUGAAAUCCUACAGCUUAACUGUAGAACUGCCAUUGAUACUGUCAACCUUGAGUACAUUUGAAGUGGGCGGAAUGUGUCAUGUAGCGGUGAAAUGCUUAGAGAUGACACAGAACACCGAUAGCGAAGGCAGCUCACUAAACUGUAACUGACGCUGAGGCACGAAAGCGUGGGGAUCAAACAGG
rnacentral:rRNA from 1 species